AACGAACGCUGGCGACAGGCCUAACACAUGCAAGUCGAACGAAGUCUUCGGACUUAGUGGCGCACGGGUGAGUAACACGUGGGAAUAUACCUUACGCUGGGGGAUAUCAUCGGGAAACUGAUGCUAAUACCGCAUACGCCCUUCGGGGGAAAGAUUUAUCGGCGAAAGAUUAGCCCGCGUCCGAUUAGCUAGUUGGUGAGGUAAUGGCUCACCAAGGCUCCGAUCGGUAGCUGGUCUGAGAGGAUGACCAGCCACACUGGGACUGAGACACGGCCCAGACUCCUACGGGAGGCAGCAGUGGGGAAUAUUGGACAAUGGGCGCAAGCCUGAUCCAGCCAUGCCGCGUGAGUGAUGAAGGCCUUAGGGUUGUAGAGCUCUUUCACCCACGACGAUGAUGACGGUAGUGGGAGAAGAAGCCCCGGCUAACUUCGUG
rnacentral:rRNA from 1 species